rnacentral:rRNA from 1 species
UACGUAGGGGGCGAGCGUUGUUCGGAUUUACUGGGCGUAAAGAGCGCGUAGGUGGUUCGAUAAGUCAGAGGUGAAAUCCCUCGGCUCAACCGAGGACCCGCGUCUGAUACUGUCGAACUUGAGUGCAGGAGAGGAGCGCGGAAUUCCGAGUGUAGCGGUGAAAUGCGUAGAUAUUCGGAGGAACACCGGUGGCGAAGGCGGCGCUCUGGACUGUCACUGACACUGAGGCGCGAAAGCUAGGGGAGCAAACGGG